rnacentral:tRNA from 1 species
AAAAUAAAGCUAAUAAGAGAGCAUCUCAUUUACAUUGGGGAGAGAGACCAAAGUGGUUUAUUUUGG